AACGAACGCUGGCGGCAUGCCUUACACAUGCAAGUCGAACGGUAACAGGUCUUCGGAUGCUGACGAGUGGCGAACGGGUGAGUAAUACAUCGGAACGUGCCUAGUAGUGGGGGAUAACUACUCGAAAGAGUGGCUAAUACCGCAUGAGAUCUACGGAUGAAAGCAGGGGAUCGCAAGACCUUGUGCUACUAGAGCGGCCGAUGGCAGAUUAGGUAGUUGGUGGGAUAAAAGCUUACCAAGCCGACGAUCUGUAGCUGGUCUGAGAGGACGAUCAGCCACACUGGGAAUGAGACACGGCCCAGACUCCUACGGGAGGCAGCAGUGGGGAAUUUUGGACAAUGGGCGAAAGCCUGAUCCAGCAAUGCCGCGUGCAGGAUGAAGGCCUUCGGGUUGUAAACUGCUUUUGUACGGAACGAAAAGCUCUGGGUUAAUACCCUGGGGUCAUGACGGUACCGUAAGAAUAAGCACCGGCUAACUACGUGCCAGCAGCCGCGGUAAAAC
rnacentral:rRNA from 1 species